UACGUAGGGGGCGAGCGUUGUCCGGAUUUAUUGGGCGUAAAGAGCGUGUAGGCGGCUUGGUAGGUCCGCUGUGAAAACUCGGGGCUCAACCCCGAGAGGUCGGUGGAAACCAUCUGGCUAGAGUCCGGAAGAGGAGAGUGGAAUUCCCGGUGUAGCGGUGAAAUGCGCAGAUAUCAGGAGGAACACCGGUGGCGAAGGCGGGUCUCUGGGCAAUAACUGACGCUGAGGAGCGAAAGCGUGGGGAGCGAACAGG
rnacentral:rRNA from 1 species